UACGAAGGGGGCUAGCGUUGUUCGGAAUCACUGGGCGUAAAGGGCGCGUAGGCGGCCGAUCAAGUCGGGUGUGAAAGCCCGGGGCUCAACCCCGGAAUUGCGCCCGAGACUGCAAGGCUUGAAUGCGGGAGAGGGAAGCGGAAUUCCUGGUGUAGAGGUGAAAUUCGUAGAUAUCAGGAGGAACACCGGUGGCGAAAGCGGCUCACUGGUCCGGUACUGACGCUGAGGUGCGAAAGCGUGGGGAGCAAACAGG
rnacentral:rRNA from 1 species